ensembl:lncRNA novel transcript
AAAAAGCAUUUAGAUCAAUGUCAGCAUAAAGGAGACUGGACUGCAAAACAGAACUGUGUGCAAAGGGAAUUUGUUGAAAUAAACAGGCUGCACCCUCUGGGACAGAGAAGCAUGGUCACCUGGGAAGGAGAGAAAAGGGAGCUUGGGUCACUCCAGUAUCAGCAGCCAGCUCAGAAAUGUAGACCUGCACAAAAUAAUACCCAGGCAGCUAUGAGAAUAUCUGUUGCAGCCAAGAGGGCACCCUGCCUUCUCUUUUCAUAUCCAGUGAAGACUGUCCCUCUCCGUGACACCAUGGCUGGAGGAAGUGGAUACACCGUGCCUGCUGCAUCUGAGGGCUGAAAUGCAAGAUCUUCAAAGAUGGAAUCUGGCUCUGUCACCCAGGCUGGAGUACAGUGGUGCGAUCUCGGCUCACCUGCAACCUCCGCCUCCUGGGUUCAAGCGAUUCUUCCGCCUCAGCCUCCUGAGUAGUUGGAACUACAGGUGUGCACCACCACGCCCGGCUAAUUUUUGUAUUUUUAGUAGACACGGGGUUUCCCCAUGUUGGCCAGGCUGGUCUCGAACUCCUGACCUCAUGAUCUGCCAGCCUUAGCCUCCCAAAGUGCUGGGAUUACAGGCAUGAGCCACUGCGCCCAGCCUAAACCAGUGUCAGUCUUAAGUGAAAAGUGCUUGUAUGAUUGAGACUAAGUGAUUUGGGGAUUGGUGAGUAAGCCAAUAUGGGCAGAGUUGAUUGUGAAUAAACCAAUGCCCAAACAACACAUUUCCUCUAAUAUUUCUCCUACUCAAAGAGUUAUAUGCCCAACUUUAUCCUAAGGGCCUUUGUGAAAGUAGAGGUAAUGACUCAUCUGGUAACUUAAUUUCCUAGUGGGUCAUCAUUUCAAGGGCCCCCAAGACCACCCUCAUGUUUAGUGAUUUGCUAGAAGGAUUCAAAGGACUCAGAAGUAAAUGUAUUCACAGUUACAGUUUCUUGCAGCGAGAGGACACAAAGCAAAACCAGCAAAAGCAAAAUCAGAUACAAAGCAAAAUCAGCUACAAAGCAAAAUCAGCACAUGGGGCAAAGCCCAAAGGAAACCAGACAUAAGCUUCCAGGGUCCUCCCAGUAAAAUGGCACAGGAUGCACUUAACAGAGCCUACGGUUUUUAUUGGGGACUGGUCAUAGAAACCCUCUGCCUAGCACAUAUAAAAUUUCAGACUUCCAGCAGGACAGUGGUAUUCAGCAUAAACCAUAUUGUUUGUACAAACAGUCUAGGCACAGUAAACCAUCCUUAUCAAUUACGGAAUGGUAGGAAGACUCCUGAAAGCCAAGUUCCCAGAUGCUAGCCGUGGGUCAACCUUGCAAGUAGGCCUUUCUGAGGUCUGCUGUCUCAGGGCUGCUAUGUUAGCUCUUUUUCAUUACAGUCACCCAGAGAUCCCCCUCUGCAGCUUCUCCAUCACCACCACUGACCUUAGAGUUGUUCUGGAUUCUGUUGUAUAAGUUAUGGUCUUGGAGACCCUAUAAAGGACUGCAGGAUUUCUGGUUCUGUUCAGUUUUGCCAUCUAUACACAAGAAGUUCUCAGAAACAUAUGUGUUGAACAAAUGAGCUGUUUAAAAAAAAAGGGGUGCUUUAAAAACUGAAAAAAAUACUCCAAAAUAUUAAGAAGGGAUGAUGUUAUUACGUAUAACUUUUAUUUCUAUUUGUAUAUGCUUUCCAAAUUUUCUAGAAUAAACACAUUCUAUUUUUAUUAUUAGAAAAUAAGUAAAACAAAUAUUAGUUUCCAACAAAUCUGCUAAACGAUGCUCCUGCAGAUUAGAUGCCCAAUCCGCAAGGUUGAGCCAAGAUCCACUGGAUAACUUUGACCCCCCAGGGAUAUUUUUAGCCACAGACAUUCUGAGUGAGGCCCACAUCACAAAGCGUUUGUUUCUUAGGACCCAGACUUAGUGUUGCUCCUUUUCAUACAGUCUUCAUAGCUUAAGCUCAUGAAACACGGUGGUCAAUGCUUACAACAAACUUGCCAACUUAUUAAAUAAAAAAUUAGAAGAUUCACUGAUUUUUCCUGGUUUCUAGUGGUAAUGGCUACAAACUAUGAGUGCCACAAUCAGCUUUUAACCAUCUGCACAGAUAGGAAGAAAAUUUUUUAAUUAAAAAUUACUUUCCAAGCCUAUUGUCCUGGGGUUAAUAUUAAUAAUUAGUUUGCAGGAUGAGGCAUUCUAAAAAGAUUCUAGAUAGCAGUAAAAAACUAUCCUGCAAGUUUUUAUAUCUGUCAUGAGCAAUGAAAUGGUUUAUAUUGUUACCACUUAUUAUAACUUAUGAUAACUAAUCAAGAUUCGACAUUAAUAAAUAACAUAAAUACAUAAAUAAAAUUAUCAGUACCCAGCUACUCUAAAUAAUGUCAUCCCUCUUUCUUUCUGGAUUUCUAGUCAAAUUCACUUUCUUCAUUACUUCAAAUACUUUACUUCUAAAGAACAGUACAUCUGUACCCAAACAACAUUUUUCACAUACAGAAGAAAAUGCAUUAAAACUUAUAUAUCAGAUCUAGCAGUUAUAUUUCCAACAGAAAUGAGGACAUGCAUGCAAUAAAAAACAUAUACAGGCCAGGCAUGGUAGCUCAUGCCUGUGAUCCCAACACUUCAGGAGGCCAAGGUGGGUGGAUUGCUUGAGCCCAGGAGUUCAAGACCAGCCUGGGCAAUUUGGUAAAACCCCAUCGCCACGAAAAAUACAAAAAAUUAGCUGGAUGUGGUGGUGCAUGCCUAUAAUCUCAGUUACUCAGGAGUCUGAGGCAUGAGAAUGGCUUGAACCCAGGAGGUGGAGGUUGCAAUGAGCUGAGAUCACACCACUGCACUCUAGCCUGGGCAACAGAAUGAGACUGUCUUGAAACAAAACAAAACACGUACAAAUAGGUUUAUGGCAGCUUUGUUCAUGAUAACUCCAAACUGGGUGCAACCCAAAUGUCCAUCAGCAGCAAAAUGGAUAUAUAAAAUUGUGCUUUGGGAGGCCGAGGCGGGCAGACUGCGAGGAAAGGAGAUUGAGACCAUCUUGGCUAACACGGUGAAACCCCGUCUCUACCAAAAAUACAAAAAAUUAGCUGGGCGUGCACACCUGUAGUCCCAGCUACUCAGGAGGCUGAGGCAGGAGAACCGCUUGAACCCUGGAGGCGGAGGUUGCAGUGAGCCAAAAUCGUGCCACUGCAUUCCAGCCUGGGCAACAGAGCGAGACUCCAUCUCAAAAAAAAAGUGCUACAUUAAUAUAAUGGAAUACUACAUAAUGAUGAAAAUGUAAGAAAUUUGGCAAGAACAUAAAUGAAACUUACAAUGUUGAGUAAAUGAAGUCAGACAAAUAGAGACAUACUGUAUAAUUCCAUUUAUACAAAGUUUAAAACUGGCAAAAGUAAUCUGCCAUAUUGGAAAUCAGGGUAGCAAUCACCCUUAGGAGACAGUGACAGGAAGCAGGCACAGGAGGGGCUUCUGAGCUGCUCAUAAUGUUCUGUAGCUCAGUCUGGCUACGGAGCAUGAGUCAUCAUCCAUUUGGAGAAAUUCAUUGCGACGCAAACUUAAGAUUUCCACACAUUUUAAUAAGUAUGUUUUACUGAUAGAAAAAUAUUACCCUCUCCAAAAAAGAGGGUUUACAAAGAGCUUACACAUAAAAAGACAUCAUUUAUUAAAGUUCUUUUAGCCUCUUCCUCUCCCUCUCCCUCUCCCUCUCCCUCUCCCUCCCCACGGUCUCCCUCUCCCUCUCUCUCCACGGUCUCCCUCUCCCUCUCCCUCUCCCUCUCUCUCCACAGUCUCCCUCUGAUGCCGAGCCGAGGCUGGACUGUACUGCCGCCAUCUCCGCUCACUGCAACCUCCCUGCCUGAUUCUCCUGCCUCAGCCUGCCGAGUGCCUGGGAUUGCAGGCGCGCGCCGCCACGCCUGACUGGUUUUUGUAUUUUUUGGUGGAGACGGGGUUUCGCGGUGUUGGCCGGGCUGGUCUCCAGCUCCUGACCGCGAGUGAUCUGCCCGCCUCAGCCUCCCGAGGUGCCGGGAUUGCAGACUGAGUCUCGCUCACUCAGUGCUCAAUGUUGCCCAGGCUGGAGUGCAGUGGCGUGAUCUCGGCUCGCUACAACCUUCACCUCCCAGCCGCCUGCCUUGGCCUCCCAAAGUGCCGAGAUUGCAGCCUCUGCCCGGCCGCCACCCCGUCUGGGAAGUGAGGAGCGUCUCUGCCCGGCCACCCAUCGUCUGAGAUGUGGGGAGCGCCUCUGCCCCGCCACCCAUCGUCUGGGAUGUGGGGAGCGCCUCUGCCCCGCCACGACCCCGUCUGGGAACUGAGGAGUGUCUCUGCCCGACCGCCACCCCGUCUGGGAGGUGAGGAGCGUCUCUGCCCGGCCGCCCUGUCUGAGAAGUGAGGAGCCCCUCCGCCCGGCAGCCACCCCAUCUGGGAAGUGAGGAGAGUCUCCGCCCGGCAGCCGCCCCGUCCGGGAGGUGGGGGGCAACUCCGCCUGGCCGACGCCCCGUCUGGGAGGUGGGGGGCGCCUCUGCCCGGCUGCCACCCCGUCUGGGAGGUGUACCCAACAGCUCAUUGAGAACGGGCCAGGAUGACGAUGGCGGUUUUGUCGAAUAGAAAAGGGGGAAAUGUGGGGAAAAGAAAGAUAAAUCAGAUUGUUACUGUGUCUGUGUAGAAAGAAGUAGACAGAGGAGACUCUAUUUUGUUCUGUACUAAGAAAAAUUCUUCUGCCUUGGGAAAAAAAAAUAAAGUUCUUUUAGU